GAUGAAGAACGCAGCGAAAUGCGAUAAGUAGUGUGAAUUGCAGAAUUCAGUGAAUCAUCGAAUCUUUGAACGCACAUUGCGCCCUUUGGUAUUCCUUAGGGCAUGCCUGUUCGAGCGUCAUUUAAACCUUCAAGCUAAGCUUGGUGUUGGGUGACUGUCCGCUUCACGGCGGACUCGCCUCAAAAUUAUUGGCGGCCGGUACAUUGGCUUCGAGCGCAGCAGAAACGCGAACUCGGGCCCGUCGUAUUGGCUCCCAGAAGCUAUCUUCACAAUUUUGACCUCGGAUCAGGUAGGGAUACCCGCUGACCUUAAGCAUAUCAAUAAGCGGAGGA
rnacentral:misc_RNA from 1 species